ACGGAGGGUGCAAACGUUGCUCGGAAUCAUUGGGCGUAAAGCGCACGUAGGCGGCUCAGUAAGUCGGGUGUGAAAGCCCUCGGCUCAACCGAGGAAGUGCAUUCGAAACUACUGAGCUUGAAUACUGGAGAGGAUCGCGGAAUUCCCGGUGUAGAGGUGAAAUUCGUAGAUAUCGGGAAGAACACCCGUGGCGAAGGCGGCUCUCUGGGACGGUACUGACGCUGAGACGCGAAAGCGUGGGGAGCGAACAGGA
rnacentral:rRNA from 1 species